GGAGAGAGAAGAAAGGCAUGCUUUCUACUCUGACGCGCUAGACAGCACGAUCCUACCUUGUCUACUCGAAAGAUACCGUUCAGACGCGCAUUAGAUGUGGAAAUCCAUACAGAGCUUAUACAAUUAGGAGAGUCAGAAGGCUCUGGGUUCACUAGAGGCUUUGCUUCCCAGAUAGAACGUGCGCUGGAUUGCAAAAGCCAACACUACUGGCUACUAGUAAAUUGCAUCUAAAAGACACAGAUCUUUUUGUGCGGAAAGCCAAAAGAUAGAAGAUGCAGAGGGAAGACAUGAG